CCAGGUUAUGGACCACGGCGAGUUGACCGAUCACAACGGUCGGACGGUGAAUUUCCGCAACGUGGUGCUGAUCAUGACGUCGAACGCGGGC
rnacentral:tRNA from 1 species